rnacentral:rRNA from 1 species
AGUGAACGCUGGCGGCGUGCUUAACACAUGCAAGUCGAACGAGAACGGGCUAUAGCUUGCUAUAGUUGUCAGCUAAGUGGCGCACGGGUGAGUAAUGUAUAGGUAAUAUGCCUCUUACUAAGGGAUAACAAAUGGAAACGUUUGCUAAUACCUUAUACUCCUUAUUAACAGAAGUUAAUAAGGGAAAGAUUUAUUGGUAAGAGAUUAGCCUGUAUUGUAUCAGUUAGUUGGUGGGGUAAUGGCUUACCAAGACUAUGAAACAUAACUGGUUUGAGAGGAUGAUCAGUCACACUGGAACUGAGACACGGUCCAGACUCCUACGGGAGGCAGCAGUGGGGAAUAUUGCACAGUGGACGAAAGUCUGAUGCAGCAACGCCGCGUGGAGGAUGACACAUUUCGGUGCGUAAACUCCUUUUAUAUGAGAAGAUAAUGACGGUAUUAUAUGAAUAAGCACCGGCUAACUCCGUGCCAGCCGCCGCAGUAA